rnacentral:rRNA from 1 species
GUUGUCGGUGGUCAUUGCGGUAGGGGAACGCCCGGUCCCAUUCCGAACCCGGUAGCUAAGCCUUCCAGCGCCGAUGGUACUGCACUCGCCAGG